GGGCCCGUAGCUCAGUGGUAAGAGCAUGCGGCUCAUAACCGCUUGGUCGUGGGUUCGAACCCCACCGGGCCCACCA
rnacentral:tRNA from 1 species